rnacentral:tRNA from 1 species
GUCAGGAUGGCUGAGCGGUAAGGCGCACGCCUGGAAAGCGUGUUCCCUCACGGGAUCCAGGGUUCGAAUCCCUGUCCUGACG